AUAAUAUUUGUUGCACAAUCCGUUUCUCUCCCGUUUCUGCAGCAAAACAAGAUUUCAUUCUUUAAUUUUCCUACUCAAGAAAUCGAGAACCAAAUUCGAGAAAGAGCUAUCGAUAAUCCUCUCAAAAUCCGUCGAAGGGGGGAGAACAUGGAGGAAGGUAACACUGGGAAAUAGAGAAUGAUUCGUGAAAACCUUGAGAUGCAUACGAGGUUGAGCAGCGAAGUGGUGGAGGAUGUGCUAUUGAGACAAGGCAUUUAAUUCAGUCAGAUU